CCUGGGGGUUGUCCCGGAGCUCCAUGGUGGGUUGGGGACCUUGUGACAUCCUGGGGGUUGUCCCACUGCCCCACAGUGGGGUCGGGGACGUUGUGACAUCCUGGGCAUUGUCCCAGAGCUCCAUGGGGGGUCGGGGACAUUGUGAGGUCCUGGGCAUUGUCCUGGAGCUCCAUGGGGGGUUGGGGACAUUGUGACAUCCUGGGGGUUGUCCCACUGCCCCACAGGGACAUUGUGAGGUCCUGGGGAUUGUCCCAGAGCUCCACGAAGGGCUUGGGGACGUUGUGAGGGCCUGGGGGUUGUCCCACUGCCCCACAGGGACAUUGUGACGUCCUGGGUUGUCCAAGAGCCUCAUGGGGACCUUGUGACAUCCUGGGGGUUGUCCCAGAGCUCCACAAGGGGGUUGGGGACGUUGUGAUGUCCUCGAGGGAUUGUCCCAGAGCUCCAGGGGGACUUUGUGCCAUCCUGGGCACUGUCCCAGAGCUCCAGGGGGACUUUGUGCCACCCUGGCCUCUCUGCAGCCCUGGUCCCGAAGCCCCGCGUGACGGCCACCACCAGCGGUGACCCCCAGGUGUGCAACGCCACCCUGAGCUGCUCCGUGGCCCUCCAGGGGGUCACCUACGAGUGGAUCCCGCCCCAGAAGGUGGUGAGGAAGGAGGGCCCCGUCCUGGAGGUCUCCAUCAACCCCACGGUGGAAACCUACGUCUGCAAGGUCAGCAACCCCGUGUCCUCCAGCUCCGCCUCGCUGACCUUCCGGCGCCCCUGCACCUGGACAGAGGAAUCCUCCUCGGCCGCCUCCCGCGCCACGCCCAGCGCCCCGGUGGCCCUGGGACACCUCCUCCUCCUCCUCCUCCUCCUCCUCCUGCUCACCGUGGCUUGAGGACCUCGCGGGUGGCACCUCCGGUCACCUCCUCACCUUCCGGCACCAACAUCUGGACGGAGAUCCCGAAAUCCUCCGGGCGCUCCAAAGCCGCGGGAGCGACGUCACCGGGAGCGUUCGGUUUGGGGUUAACGGGGAAAUUCUCCCCCAAAAUCAUCCCCAAAAUCCGUGGGGAGACCCCGUCUGAGCCCUUCCCCCCUGGGAUUCUGGGGGAUCCUCCUGGAUUUGGGGUGGCCUGGAAGGGCAGGGCCUUUGGUGAGGGAGGGCCGGGGGUUGGGUUUGGAUUUCCCAGGUGUUUCUCUGCACAUUAAAUUCCAUCCUGGACAAAAUCUUUGGGGUUUUCUGGAUUUUUCCCUGGGCUCAGGGAUGGGAGGUGUUUCCCCCCAGCCCCGUUUUUGGGGACAAAAUCCCUUCCUUUGUCCCCCAGAGGAGGGUCUGGCUCCGGAGGGGGGGACACGGAUCCGGCGGGGCGGGAAGAAAUCUCGGGAAUGACGGAGAUGAUCCCUCAGCCUCCAAAAUAAAUCCUGGAAAAGUUCGGGACA
ensembl:lncRNA